rnacentral:rRNA from 1 species
GAAGCUAAUACCGGAUAAUAUAUUGAACCGCAUGGUUCAAUAGUGAAAGACGGUUUUGCUGUCACUUAUAGAUGGAUCCGCGCCGCAUUAGCUAGUUGGUAAGGUAACAGCUUACCAAGGCAACGAUGCGUAGCCGACCUGAGAGGGUGAUCGGCCACACUGGAACUGAGACACUGCCCAG